rnacentral:lncRNA from 1 species
UCGAGGGUCAAAAGCUUUUUUUACCGAUAUUAUGCUUCUUUUGCAUUGUUUUGUAGUGAUUUUGAUGAAAGUGAAGAUUGGGGUUGAAGAUGAAGGUCUUAGACUCAAGAUAGACCAAGAAAAUUGAAGAAAGGAAGAGUCAAGAAACCGCCCGGCGGCAAAAUUUACUGUUGGGCGGUCCAAGGCGAGGAGAAGGCACCUGGCGUGGGCGUUGGGCGGAUUUGCGAUUAGAGGCAAACCGAAGGGCGGUGGCCCCCUGCCGCCGGGCGGUGGCGUGAUUAGGGGCAAACCGUCGGGCGACAUAAGUGUGCCGCCGGGCGGUUGUCCGCUGGGCCUAGGCCUGUUUUCUGUGAUGCUCCUCAGCUAUAAAUAGCCCUGUUACAAUUUCAUUCUUAUUCUUUUGACAGAAGAGGGCGGCCAGACCUAAUUUUCACUCUCUAGAGAGGAUCUCUUGGAUGCUUAGGCUCCUUUUCAUCUUAUCUAGGGUUUGCUUUUCCAUUCUUCCAUUAUUAUCAUCUAAGUUCACCAUGACAAUGGUGAACUAAACCCUUAUGUUGUUGGGGGAAACAAUGUAAUCUUUUGAAACUCUCUUUUAUUGAAACUCUUGUUUAUUUAUAUGAUUCUUCAUAUGCUUUGAUUAUCAAUUGUUGGGUUCUCAUCUAUGCUUAAUGUUUUAUCGUUUAACUCAUUCAAUAACUGUUGUUUGUCUCUAUUGAUCCGGGAACGUACAGUACUGUCAUGAAAUGAUGAGAAAUUCCUUGAUUAAGCAAUACCAACCUAGGGAUAGGGGGUAGGACGAUCAAUUGUUUUUGCUUCUGUUCUUAAUGCAUUAUUAAUUGCUAGGGGAGGCUAGGGAUAGCAAGCCGGUAAUUAAUAAUAGGCUCUUCUCUCCGAGGGAUCGGGUUAACGCUAGGCCAAGAAAGUUUGCAUAACAAUGAGAUAAUCAAGCACAUUAAACAAGAGGAGUAGAUAAGAGGGAGUGAAUAAGAUGAAAUUGUAAACCCCCAACAACUUCAUUCAUCCAUAGUCUUUUUCGUCAAUUGAAUCAAACACAUUGCAUGUUUAUUUUCUGUCUUUGCAUCCACAACAAUUAAUUCUUUCUCUACAAGUCUUACGAUUUUAAUUCACACGAACGAUCCUUUCGAGUCUCUUGGGAAAAACGAUAUCGGGCAUUACCGAUUAUAUUACUUGCACGAUCUGGUACACUUGCCAAUGAGUCAACAAGUUUUUGGCACCGUUGCCGGGAACUCGAGGUUAUUUUUAGUAGUGUGAAUUGAUUGACAUUUUUCUUGUUUG